rnacentral:snRNA from 1 species
GUGCUCGCUUCGGCAGCACAUAUACUAAAAUGGUAACGAUAAGAGAAGAUUAGCAUGGCCUCUGCACAAGGA